rnacentral:rRNA from 1 species
UACGGGGGGAGCAAGCGUUGUUCGGAUUUACUGGGCGUAAAGGGCUCGUAGGCGGCCAACUAAGUCGGAUGUGAAAUCCCCAGGCUUAACCUGGGAACUGCAUCCGAUACUGGAUGGCUUGAAUUCGGGAGAGGGAUGCAGAAUUCCAGGUGUAGCGGUGAAAUGCGUAGAUAUCUGGAGGAAUACCGGUGGCGAAGGCGGCAUCCUGGACCGACAUUGACGCUGAUGAGCGAAAGCUAGGGGAGCAAACGGG